UACAGAGGUCCCAAGCGUUGUUCGGAUUCAUUGGGCGUAAAGGGUGCGUAGGUGGCAGGGUAAGUUGGAUGUGAAAUCCCGGGGCUCAACCCCGGAACUGCAUUCAAUACUGCCCUGCUAGAGUACUGGAGAGGAGAUUGGAAUUCAUGGUGUAGCAGUGAAAUGCGUAGAUAUCAUGAGGAAAACCAGUGGCGAAGGCGGAUCUCUGGACAGUUACUGACACUGAGGCACGAAGGCCAGGGGAGCAAACGGG
rnacentral:rRNA from 1 species